GAUGAACGCUAGCUACAGGCUUAACACAUGCAAGUCGAGGGGUAACGAGAGGAAAGCUUGCUUUCCUUGUCGACGACCGGCGCACGGGUGAGUAACGCGUAUCCAACCUGCCCCCAACUAGGGAAUAACCUUGCGAAAGUAAGACUAAUACCCUAUAAUUUCCUCAGAUGCCAUCUGACGAGGAAUAAAGAUUUAUCGGUUGUGGAUGGGGAUGCGUCUGAUUAACUUGUUGGCGGGGUAACGGCCCACCAAGGCAACGAUCAGUAGGGGUUCUGAGAGGAAGGUCCCCCACAUUGGAACUGAGACACGGUCCAAACUCCUACGGGAGGCAGCAGUGAGGAAUAUUGGUCAAUGGGCGGAAGCCUGAACCAGCCAAGUAGCGUGCAGGAUGACGGCCCUAUGGGUUGUAAACUGCUUUUAUACAGGAAUAAAGUUAGCCACGUGUGGUUAUUUGUAGGUACUGUAUGAAUAAGGACCGGCUAAUUCCGUGCCAGCAGCCGCGGUAAAAC
rnacentral:rRNA from 1 species